GACGAACGCUGGCGGCGUGCCUAAUACAUGCAAGUCGAGCGAUGAAGAUUGGUGCUUGCACCAAUUUGAAGAGCAGCGAACGGGUGAGUAACGCGUGGGGAAUCUGCCUUUGAGCGGGGGACAACAUUUGGAAACGAAUGCUAAUACCGCAUAACAACUUUAAACAUAAGUUUUAAGUUUGAAAGAUGCAAUUGCAUCACUCAAAGAUGAUCCCGCGUUGUAUUAGCUAGUUGGUGAGGUAAAGGCCCACCAAGGCGAUGAUACAUAGCCGACCUGAGAGGGUGAUCGGCCACAUUGGGACUGGGACACGGCCCCAACUCCUACGGGAGGCAGCAGUAGGGAAUCUUCGGCAAUGGACGAAAGUCUGACCGAGCAACGCCGCGUGAGUGCAGAAGGUUUUCGGAUCGUAAAACUCUGUUGGUAGAGAAGAACGUUGGUGAGAGUGGAAAGCUCAUCAAGUGACGGUAACUACCCAGAAAGGGACGGCUAACUACGUG
rnacentral:rRNA from 1 species